rnacentral:rRNA from 1 species
ACACAUGCAAGUCGAGGGGCAGCAUGAUUGAAGCUUGCUUCAAUUGAUGGCGACCGGCGCACGGGUGAGUAACGCGUAUCCAACCUUCCGUACACUCAGGGAUAGCCUUUCGAAAGAAAGAUUAAUACCUGAUGGUAUGAUGAGAUUGCAUGAUAGCAUCAUUAAAGAUUUAUCGGUGUACGAUGGGGAUGCGUUCCAUUAGGUAGUAGGCGGGGUAACGGCCCACCUAGCCUACGAUGGAUAGGGGUUCUGAGAGGAAGGUCCCCCACAUUGGAACUGAGACACGGUCCAAACUCCUACGGGAGGCAGCAGUGAGGAAUAUUGGUCAAUGGACGAGAGUCUGAACCAGCCAAGUAGCGUGAAGGAUGAAGGUCUUACGGAUUGUAAACUUCUUUUAUAAGGGAAUAAAACCUCCCACGUGUGGGAGCUUGUAUGUACCUUAUGAAUAAGCAUCGGCUAACUCCGUGCCAGCAGCCGCGGUAAUACGGAGGAUGCGAGCGUUAUCCGGAUUUAUUGGGUUUAAAGGGAGCGCAGACGGGUCGUUAAGUCAGCUGUGAAAGUUUGGGGCUCAACCUUAAAAUUGCAGUUGAUACUGGCGUCCUUGAGUGCGGUUGAGGUGUGCGGAAUUCGUGGUGUAGCGGUGAAAUGCUUAGUUAUCACGAAGAACUCCGAUUGCGAAGGCAGCACACUAAGCCGUAACUGACGUUCAUGCUCGAAAGUGUGGGUAUCAAACAGGAUUAGAUACCCUGGUAGUCCACACGGUAAACGAUGGAUACUCGCUGUUGGCGAUAUACGGUCAGCGGCUUAGCGAAAGCGUUAAGUAUCCCACCUGGGGAGUACGCCGGCAACGGUGAAACUCAA